UACGAAGGGGACUAGCGUUGUUCGGAUUUACUGGGCGUAAAGCGCGCGUAGGCGGAUAUUUAAGUCAGGGGUGAAAUCCCAGGGCUCAACCCUGGAACUGCCUUUGAUACUGGAUGUCUGGAGAUCGGGAGAGGUUGGUGGAAUUCCGAGUGUAGAGGUGAAAUUCGUAGAUAUUCGGAGGAACACCAGAAGCGAAGGCGGCCAACUGGCCCGAUACUGACGCUGAGGCGCGAAAGCGUGGGGAGCAAACGGG
rnacentral:rRNA from 1 species